rnacentral:rRNA from 1 species
UACGGGGGGGGCAAGCGUUGUUCGGAAUUACUGGGCGUAAAGGGCUCGUAGGCGGCCAACUAAGUCAGACGUGAAAUCCCUCGGCUUAACCGGGGAACUGCGUCUGAUACUGGAUGGCUCGAGUUUGGGAGAGGGAUGCGGAAUUCCAGGUGUAGCGGUGAAAUGCGUAGAUAUCAGGAAGAACACCCGUGGCGAAGGCGGCUCUCUGGGACGUGACUGACGCUGAGACGCGAAAGCGUGGGGAGCGAACAGG